UACGUAGGGGGCGAGCGUUGUCCGGAUUUAUUGGGCGUAAAGAGCGUGUAGGCGGCCAGGUAGGUCUGCUGUGAAAACUCGAGGCUCAACCUCGAGACGUCGGCGGAAACCAUCUGGCUAGAGUCCGGAAGAGGAGAGUGGAAUUCCUGGUGUAGCGGUGAAAUGCGCAGAUAUCAGGAAGAACACCGGUGGCGAAGGCGGCUCUCUGGAACGGUACUGACGCUGAGACGCGAAAGCGUGGGGAGCGAACAGG
rnacentral:rRNA from 1 species